rnacentral:rRNA from 1 species
AUUGAACGCUGGCGGCAGGCUUAACACAUGCAAGUCGAGCGGAGCGAGGGUGCUUGCACCUUAGCUUAGCGGCGGACGGGUGAGUAAUGCUUAGGAAUCUGCCUAUUAGUGGGGGACAACAUUCCGAAAGGAAUGCUAAUACCGCAUACGCCCUACGGGGGACAGCAGGGGAUCUUCGGACCUUGCGCUAAUAGAUGAUCCUAAGUCGGAUUAGCUAGUUGGUGGGGUAAAGGCCUACCAAGGCGACGAUCUGUAGCGGGUCUGAGAGGAUGAGCCGACACACGGGGACUGAGACACGGCCCAGACUCCUACGGGAGGCAGCAGUGGGGAAUAUUGGACAAUGGGCGGAAGCCUGAUCCAGCCAUGCCGCGUGUGUGAAGAAGGCCUUUUGGUUGUAAAGCACUUUAAGCGAGGAGGAGGCUACUUAGAUUAAUACUCUGGGAUAGUGGACGUUACUCGCAGAAUAAGCACCGGCUAACUCUGUGCCAGCCGCCGCGGUAAAAC